GAGUUUGAUCAUGGCUCAGAUUGAACGCUGGCGGCAGGCCUAACACAUGCAAGUCGAGCGGAUGACGGGAGCUUGCUCCUUGAUUCAGCGGCGGACGGGUGAGUAAUGCCUAGGAAUCUAGCCUGGUAGUGGGGGACAACGUUUCGAAAGGAACGCUAAUACCGCAUACGUCCUACGGGAGAAAGCAGAGGACCUUCGGGCCUUGCGCUAUCAGAUGAGCCUAGGUCGGAUUAGCUAGUUGGUGGGGUAAGUGGCGUCACCAAGGCGACGAUCCGUAACUGGUCUGAGAGGAUGAUCAGUCACACUGGAACUGAGACACGGUCCAGACUCCUACGGGAGGCAGCAGUGGGGAAUAUUGGACAAUGGCGAAAGCCUGAUCCAGCCAUGCCGCGUGUGUGAAGAAGGU
rnacentral:rRNA from 1 species